GAUGAGUGAUCUACCAGACAGCGGCGGACGGGUGAGUAACGCGUGGGCAACCUGCCCUAUACAAAGGGAUAGCCACUGGAAACGGUGAUUAAUACCUUAUAAAGCUACUAAAACACAUGUUUUGGUAGCCAAAGCUCCGGCGGUAUAGGAUGGGCCCGCGUUUGAUUAGCUAGUUGGUGAGGUAACGGCUCACCAAGGCGACGAUCAAUAGCCGACCUGAGAGGGUGAUCGGCCACACUGGAACUGAGACACGGUCCAGACUCC
rnacentral:rRNA from 1 species